rnacentral:miRNA from 1 species
UGACCUGGAGGUGCUGCUGGAGCC